rnacentral:piRNA from 1 species
UUUAAACGAAGGAAAAUGUGCUACAA